UACGUAGGGCGCAAGCGUUGUCCGGAAUCAUUGGGCGUAAAGAGCUCGUAGGUGGUCUGUUACGUCUGCUGUGAAAUCCUAGGGCUUAACCCUGGGCCUGCAGUGGAUACGGGCAGACUAGAGGUAGGUAGGGGAGAAUGGAAUUCCCGGUGUAGCGGUGAAAUGCGCAGAUAUCGGGAGGAACACCGGUGGCGAAGGCGGUUCUCUGGGCCUUACCUGACACUGAGGCGCGACAGCGUGGGGAGCAAACAGG
rnacentral:rRNA from 1 species